CCACAGCAGGCAGCGGGAGGCCAGCAGGUGUGGGCCAAUGGCGUAGAGCAGGUUGGAGAGGAAGACACAGGCCCAGGCCUCCUCCGGCACGCGGUCCUCCUAACCCCUCUGGGACACGAAUCCUGUCUAUCGUGCCUCGUGGGACUCUUCCUGGCCUUGGCCCAACCAGGGCUUAUCCCUUCCGGUCGGGAACGCAGCUCUGACUGGGUCCUCACCGCCCCAGCACCUCCCACAGCUCCCAUCAGCACCACGAGGCCCGAGUUCAAAGGCCUCAGCCUCGAGCUGCCCAUCUCUCUCGGCUCUGCCUUUGCCCGCGUUACAGCCCUGCCAGUCACCGUCCCUGCGCCGCCCUCGCUCCGGAAUGCCCUUUCCGGCCUGGAGCGCGCCUCUGCACACAGGGGGCCCCGAGAUUCUCAGGGGUGAUGUUCCUGAGCACCAGCGAAUGGUGAAGAAAACGACAAAUUUCACAUAUGGACAUUGAAAAAUGCCUACAAAUGGCAAUUUUUAUAGCUUAAACCCUAAAUACGCUAUGUCUCCCAAGGUUAUAUAAUUUAAUGUAAUAAUACAGUAUUAAUAAAGCCGUAGACGGUG